GCAACAAAAUAUAUUCUUAAUCUUCCAUUUAUCAGUUCAGUAAAUUACAAAUCCAGAUUGCAAACUCUCCAUCUACUGCCCAUAUGUUACUGGCAUGAAUACCUUGAUAUGAUUCAUUUAAUAAUAAUAAUAAUAAUAAUCAUAAUCUUUAUUUCUUCAAAGUAACUCAUGGCAUUACCAGCUCGUCCUUUGCCUUGCACGCCAAGACAACAAGAUAUACAAGAUCGUCCACUAACACGAAAGGUGUAAAGUACGAAGUCCCGCGGUGCAAAACAACAACCUACCAAAGAUCAUACUGGAUAAGAACCAUCAGAACAUGGAACACAUUGACGGUCAUACUUGACUUGAGUAUGGAGAACUUCAACACAUUCAAGUCUGUAAUGCGAGAGUACUACCAUACUGCAUUAACGAACACAUAUGAUUGUGAUGAUGUACGAACUUUUAAAACGAUUUGCCCGAAAUGCAAUAGAGCAAGGACUUUAACGAACUCGAUGAACUGUUGUUUUUAGUCUCUAUGGUUUAAUUGUUAUUUGUG